CAAAGACAUAAUUAGUUAACCCUAGCAGAAUUUGGUUUUGAUUUGCCAAAAGUCCUGUGUAAUAACAUCAUGAGCUCCAGCAGCGUCAAUAUUCAAGAGGCUCUUCUUCCCACUAAGCCUCCACCUAAUGGAAGUAGCUCAACUUCUUCAAGCCUCCAAAAUCAGAUGUACUACGUGAUUUUAAGUGAAAAUACGCUCAAAUUUAUGAUUAUUUUAUAUAUCAUAAUGGACAUUAGUAAAAAGAAAGAAAAAACGUGUCUUUCAUCGUGAUGAAUUUGGCCCGUACCGUGUUGCAAUUUUUUUGAGUGAUUUGCGUGAAAGUAGAUAUGCAUUUGCGACGUUUGAAGGUUCAGUCAAAAGUUGUUAACGUGCU
rnacentral:lncRNA from 1 species